rnacentral:rRNA from 1 species
GUGGGGUAACGGCCUACCAAGGCAUCGACGGGUAGCUGGUCUGAGAGGACGGUCAGCCACACUGGGACUGAGACACGGCCCAGACUCCUACGGGAGGCAGCAGCGGGGAAUAUUGCGCAAUGGGCGAAAGCCUGACGCAGCAACGCCGCGUGAGGGAUGAAGGCUCUCGGGUUGUAAACCUCUUUCAGCAGGGACGAUUGUGACGGUACCUGCAGAAGAAGCCCCGGCCAACUACGUGCCAGCAGCCGCGGUAAUACGUAGGGGGCGAGCGUUGUCCGGAUUUAUUGGGCGUAAAGAGCUCGUAGGUGGUUCGAUAAGUCGGGUGUGAAAACUCUGGGCUUAACUCAGAGACGCCACCCGAUACUGUCGUGACUUGAGUCUGGUAGGGGAGUGUGGAAUUCCCGGUGUAGCGGUGAAAUGCGCAGAUAUCGGGAGGAACACCAGUGGCGAAGGCGGCACUCUGGGCCAGUACUGACACUGAGGAGCGAAAGCGUGGGUAGCGAACAGGAUUAGAUACCCUGGUAGUCCACGCCGUAAACGUUGGGCACUAGGUGUGGGUCUCAACCAACGGGAUCCGUGCCGCAGCUAACGCAUUAAGUG